GAGUUUGAUCCUGGCUCAGGACGGACGCUGGCGGCGUGCUUAAUACAUGCAAGUCGAACGGAGUUAAGGGUUUCGGCCCUUAACUUAGUGGCGAACGGGUGAGUAACGCGUGAAUAACCUGACUCAAAGAGGGGGAUAACAACGGGAAACUGUUGCUAAUACCGCAUGAGACCACAACACCGCAUGAUGAAGGGGUCAAAGAUUUAUCGCUUUGAGAGGGGUUCGCGUCCCAUUAGGUAGUUGGAGGGGUAACGGCCCACCAAGCCAACGAUGGGUAGCCGAGCUGAGAGGCUGAUCGGCCACACUGGAACUGAGACACGGUCCAGACUCCUACGGGAGGCAGCAGUAGGGAAUAUUGGGCAAUGGGCGCAAGCCUGACCCAGCAACGCCGCGUGAGGGAAGAAGGCUUUCGGGUUGUAAACCUCUGUCCUUGGUGACGAAGGAAGUGACGGUAGCCAAGGAGGAAGCCCCGGCUAACUACGUGCCAGCAGCCGCGGUAAUAC
rnacentral:rRNA from 1 species